rnacentral:rRNA from 1 species
CAGUCGCCGCGGUAAUACGUAGGGUGCGAGCGUUAAUCGGAAUUACUGGGCGUAAAGCGUGCGCAGGCGGUUAUAUAAGACAGAUGUGAAAUCCCCGGGCUCAACCUGGGACCUGCAUUUGUGACUGUAUAGCUAGAGUACGGUAGAGGGGGAUGGAAUUCCGCGUGUAGCAGUGAAAUGCGUAGAUAUGCGGAGGAACACCGAUGGCGAAGGCAAUCCCCUGGACCUGUACUGACGCUCAUGCACGAGAGCGUGGGGAGCAAACAGGAUUAGAUACCCCCGUAGUCCCUGUCUCUUAUAC